rnacentral:rRNA from 1 species
AUGACAAAGAUUGUCAAAAAAUAUAUGGAGCAUGACAUGAUAGAACUUCCAAUAAAUACCGGCAACACGCAUUGGUAUUUAGCUAUUGUGAAUACAAAAAAGCGUGAGAUCCAAGUACUGGACUCAUUGUGCUGGAAGUUUGAUCGAGAGGACCUUGCUAUUACGAUACGAGGAGUACAAUUUCAUUUGGAUCUUCUUAAAAGUCGGAACUUGAUUAAGGACGAUUGGAAAGACGUUGAUCUUACUGAAUGGAAUAUCACAAAACAGUUACAAAAUCCAAUUCAAAAAGACAGUUCUUCUUGCGGUUUAUUUACGGUCAAAUUUAUGGAAUAUUUCACCGGAUGUACACUAUCCUACCCAAUUACAUAG